rnacentral:rRNA from 1 species
CAGUGAUAAACUGGAGGAAGGUGGGGAUGACGUCAAGUCAUCAUGGCCCUUACGACCAGGGCUACACACGUGCUACAAUGGCGCAUACAAAGAGAAGCGACCUCGCGAGAGCAAGCGGACCUCAUAAAGUGCGUCGUAGUCCGGAUUGGAGUCUGCAACUCGACUCCAUGAAGUCGGAAUCGCUAGUAAUCGUGGAUCAGAAUGCCACGGUGAAUACGUUCCCGGGCCUUGUACACACCGCCCGUCACACCAUGGGAGUGGGUUGCAAAAGAAGUAGGUAGCUUAACCUUCGGGAGGGCGCUUACCACUUUGUGAUUCAUGACUGGGGUGAAG